GUGAGCCUACGGGAGGCAGCAGUGGGGAAUAUUGCACAAUGGGGGAAACCCUGAUGCAGCGACGCCGCGUGAGUGAAGAAGUAUUUCGGUAUGUAAAGCUCUAUCAGCAGGGAAGAUAAUGACGGUACCUGAGUAAGAAGCCCCGGCUAACUACGUGCCAGCAUCCGCGGUAAUACGUAGGGGGCAAGCGUUAUCCGGAUUUAUUGGGUUUAAAGGGUGCGCAGGCGGGAGAUCAAGUCAGCGGUAAAAUGUCGGGGCUCAACCCCGGCCGGCCGUUGAAACUGGUUUUCUAGAGUUGG
rnacentral:rRNA from 1 species